AGAGUUUGAUCCUGGCUCAGAGCGAACGCUGGCGGCAGGCCUAACACAUGCAAGUCGAGCGGGCACCUUCGGGUGUCAGCGGCAGACGGGAGAGUAACACGUGGGAACGUGCCCUUUGGUUCGGAACAACCCAGGGAAACUUGGGCUAAUACCGGAUAAGCCCUUACGGGGAAAGAUUUAUCGCCAAAGGAUCGGCCCGCGUCUGAUUAGCUAGUUGGUGGGGUAAUGGCUCACCAAGGCGACGAUCAGUAGCUGGUCUGAGAGGAUGAUCAGCCUCACUGGGACUGAGACACGGCCCAGACUCCUACGGGAGGCAGCAGUGGGGAAUAUUGGACAAUGGGCGCAAGCCUGAUCCAGCCAUGCCGCGUGGGUGAUGAAGGCCCUAGGGUUGUAAAGCCCUUUCGGCGGGGAAGAUAAUGACGGUACCCGCAGAAGAAGCCCCGGCUAACUUCGUGCCAGCAGCCGCGGUA
rnacentral:rRNA from 1 species